UACAGAGGGUGCAAGCGUUAAUCGGAAUUACUGGGCGUAAAGCGCGCGUAGGUGGUUUGUUAAGUUGGAUGUGAAAUCCCCGGGCUCAACCUGGGAACUGCAUUCAAAACUGACAAGCUAGAGUAUGGUAGAGGGUGGUGGAAUUUCCUGUGUAGCGGUGAAAUGCGUAGAUAUAGGAAGGAACACCAGUGGCGAAGGCGACCACCUGGACUGAUACUGACACUGAGGUGCGAAAAGCGUGGGGAGCAAACAGG
rnacentral:rRNA from 1 species